rnacentral:rRNA from 1 species
CAGCCGCCGCGGUAAAACGGAGGGUGCAAGCGUUGUCCGGAUUUAUUGGAUUUAAAGGGUGCGUAGGCGGCCGAAUAAGUCAGUGGUGAAAGCCUCCAGCUUAACUGGAGAACUGCCAUUGAUACUGUUAGGCUUGAGUAUACUUGAGGUAGGCGGAAUUGACAGUGUAGCGGUGAAAUGCAUAGAUAUUGUCAAGAACACCAGUUGCGAAGGCAGCUUACUAAAUUAUAACUGACGCUGAGGCACGAAAGUGUGUGUAUCAAACAGGCUCAGAUACCCCCGUAGUCCCUGUCUCUUAUAC